rnacentral:rRNA from 1 species
GUUAGGAAUAUUGGACAAUGGGCGAAAGCCUGAUCCAGCCAUGCCGCGUGUGUGAAGAAGGUCUUCGGAUUGUAAAGCACUUUAAGUUGGGAGGAAGGGCAGUAAGUUAAUACCUUGCUGUUUUGACGUUACCGACAGAAUAAGCACCGGCUAACUUCGUGCCAGCAGCCGCGGUAAUACGAAGGGUGCAAGCGUUAAUCGGAAUUACUGGGCGUAAAGCGCGCGUAGGUGGUUUUGUAAGUUGGAGGUGAAAUCGCCGGGCUCAACCUGGGAACUGCCUCCAAAACUGCAUGACUAGAGUACGGUAGAGGGUAGUGGAAUUUCCUGUGUAGCGGUGAAAUGCGUAGAUAUAGGAAGGAACACCAGUGGCGAAGGCGACUACCUGGACUGAUACUGACACUGAGGUGCGAAAGCGUGGGGAGCAAACAGGAUUAGAAACCCCUGUAGUCC